rnacentral:rRNA from 1 species
GUCCACGCCGUAAACGAUGGGUGCUAGGUGUGGGGAGUGUCGACUCUCUCUGUGCCGAAGCUAACGCAUUAAGCACCCCGCCUGGGGAGUACGGCCGCAAGGCUAAAACUCAAAGGAAUUGACGGGGGCCCGCACAAGCAGCGGAGCAUGUGGUUUAAUUCGACGCAACGCGAAGAACCUUACCAGGGCUUGACAUGCACGGGAAUGUCGUAGAAAUACGGCAGCCCUUCGGGGCUCGUGCACAGGUGGUGCAUGGCUGUCGU